AGGCCUGAUUUCACCAGAAAGUGGUUCAGCGCCAAAGCAGUGGACAUGUCACCCUCUACCCUCCAAAAAGCAAGGCAGACUCAUCAGCUGACAGUCGCUUUUAGGCGCAUGGCCCAGCUGCAUCCCACAAUGUCUUGUGAGUCGAGGCCCCUGAGGGCGGGCCUCCUGCACCCUGAAGCAAUAGAAUGUGGCUUUGCACGACAGGAAAUCAAGUGUGGCCCCAGCACAUAGUCUGUACUGACAGGACACGGCCCAGAGUGAACAGCCUGAGAAAAGUUACAGUAAAGGAAAUGUACUGAACAUCUUCCAGGGACAGGGAGCAAGCCAUUUCAUACGGAGCCAUUGAGGGAAGUAGUGACAAGGUGGGAGCCGACCGAUGGGAGCUUUGGAGUCAGUUUUCCUCAGCAACCAAGCGGGAGCCAGCGAUGGCUGCAGAGCAGGAGACUGAUGAGUUCAGAUGCACACCACAGCUUGUGUCUAAGGAUGUGGGAGAGAGCGGGUGACUGGCAUUCCUUCCUCCAGCACAAUGAAAGGGAGGGACCCGAGGUGGCAGGUGGGAAAUGCUGCUCUGUGUUGCCCUGACUGCCUUCCCUUUCCCUUCACCUUUCAGUGAUGCUUCCUGAGCACCAGAACAAGCCAGGUGCUGGAGGACACCCCAGGGGGCCCUUCUGGAACCUGAUGAAGCUCCAGGCAGGCAGAAUGCAGAACUGGUGGCUGCAGCCAUCAUAGGGUACAGCGCAGGCGCCUAAAACCAGGCCACCCACAGGAUAUCGGAAACCACAAGAGCCUG